UACGGGGGGGGCAAGCGUUGUUCGGAAUUACUGGGCGUAAAGGGCUCGUAGGCGGCCAACUAAGUCAGACGUGAAAUCCCUCGGCUUAACCGGGGAACUGCAUCUGAUACUGGACGGCUUGAGAUUGGGAGAGGGAUGCGGAAUUCCAGGUGUAGCGGUGAAAUGCGUAGAUAUCUGGAGGAACACCGGUGGCGAAGGCGGCGUCCUGGACCAACACUGACACUGGGGAGCGAAAGCCAGGGGAGCAAACGGG
rnacentral:rRNA from 1 species